UAAUAUGGCAGAUUAGUGCAUUG
rnacentral:tRNA from 7 species